UUNGGAGCUCUCCCAUAUGGUCGACCUGCAGGCGGCCGCGAAUUCACUAGUGAUUAGAGUUUGAUCCUGGCUCAGAUUGAACGCUGGCGGCGUGCUUAACACAUGCAAGUCGAACGUGAAAGUCCUUCGGGGCGAGUAAAGUGGCGCACGGGUGAGUAACGCGUGGAUAAUCUACCCUUAAGAUGGGGAUAACGGCUGGAAACGGUCGCUAAUACCGAAUACGCUCCCGAUUUUAUCGUUGGGGGGAAAGAUGGCCUCUGCUUGCAAGCUAUCGCUUAAGGAUGAGUCCGCGUCCCAUUAGCUAGUUGGCGGGGUAACGGCCCACCAAGGCGACGAUGGGUAGCCGGUCUGAGAGGAUGACCGGCCACACUGGAACUGGAACACGGUCCAGACUCCUACGGGAGGCAGCAGUGGGGAAUAUUGCGCAAUGGGCGAAAGCCUGACGCAGCGACGCCGCGUGAGGGAUGAAGGUUCUCGGAUCGUAAACCUCUGUCAGGGGGGAAGAAACCCCCUCGUGUGAAUAAUGCGAGGGCUUGACGGUACCCCCAAAGGAAGCACCGGCUAACUCCGUGCCAGCAGCCGCGGUAAUACGGAGGGUGCAAGCGUUAAUCGGAAUCACUGGGCGUAAGCGCACGUANGCGGCUUGGUAAGUCAGGGGUGAAAUCCCACAGCCCNACUGUGGAACUGCCUUUGAUACUGCCAGGCUUGAGUACCCGGANANG
rnacentral:rRNA from 1 species